rnacentral:rRNA from 1 species
AGAUGUACCGGGGCUAAACUAUACACCGAAGCUGCGGAUAGAUAAGUUGCUUGCAACUUAUUUAUGGUAGGGGAGCGUUCUGUAAGCUGAUGAAGGCGUGUUGAGAAGCAUGCUGGAGGUAUCAGAAGUGCGAAUGCUGACAUGAGUAACGAUAAAGAGGGUGAAAAGCCCUCUCGCCGGAAGUCUAAGGUUUCCUGCACGACGCUAAUCGGAGCAGGGUGAGUCGGCCCCUAAGGCGAGGCAGAAAUGCGUAGUCGAUGGGAACCAGGUUAAUAUUCCUGGACUUUUGGUAAGUGGUGAUGUGGGGACGAAGAAGGCUAGGUGAGCCGGGUGUUGGAAAUCCCGGUGCUUGCAUGUAGGCGGAGUUUUUAGGCAAAUCCGGAAACUCGUUAACGCUGAGGUGCGAAGCGGUUCUGACGGUACGCCGUGCAGAGAAGUCAUUGAUGCCCUGCUUCCAGGAAAAGCUGCUAGCCAUAACUUACCAGAAACCGUACCGCAAACCGACACAGGUAGACAGGUAGAGAAUACUAAGGCGCUUGAGAGAACUCGGGUGAAGGAACUAGGCAAAAUGGUACCGUAACUUCGGGAGAAGGUACGCCGCUGAGGGUGAAUUGAUUUACUUAAUGAGCCUUUGGCGGUCGCAGAGACCAGGUGGCUGCGACUGUUUAUUAAAAACACAGCACUCUGCAAAUUCGUAAGAAGAAGUAUAGGGUGUGACGCCUGCCCGGUGCCGGAAGGUUAAUUGAUGGGGUUAUCCUGCCACCAGAUGGUUUGCUAAUCGAGGCAAAUGCUAAACGAACGAGGGCAUGUACGUUGGUACAUAACUGAGUGAGCGCAGCAUUUAACGAAGAGUAGCGAGCUAUGUGGUGGCAGGAGAAGCUCUUGAUCGAAGCCCCGGUAAACGGCGGCCGUAACUAUAACGGUCCUAAGGUAGCGAAAUUCCUUGUCGGGUAAGUUCCGACCUGCACGAAUGGCGUAACGAUGGCCACACUGUCUCCACCCGAGACUCAGUGAAAUUGAAAUCGCUGUGAAGAUGCAGUGUACCCGCGGCUAGACGGAAAGACCCCGUGAACCUUUACUACAGCUUUGCACUGAAUUUUGAUACCAAUUGUGUAGGAUAGGUGGGAGGCUAUGAAAGUCGGACGCUAGUUCGGCUGGAGCCAACCUUGAAAUACCACCCUGUUGUUAUUGAAGUUCUAACUUAGGCCCGUAAUCCGGGUUGAGGACAGUGUAUGGUGGGUAGUUUGACUGGGGCGGUCUCCUCCCAAAGAGUAACGGAGGAGCACAAAGGUACCCUCGGUACGGUCGGACAUCGUACCAAGAGUGUAAAGGCAUAAGGGUGCUUGACUGCGAGACAGACAUGUCAAGCAGGAACGAAAGUUGGUCUUAGUGAUCCGGUGGUUCUGUAUGGAAGGGCCAUCGCUCAACGGAUAAAAGGUACUCCGGGGAUAACAGGCUGAUACCGCCCAAGAGUUCAUAUCGACGGCGGUGUUUGGCACCUCGAUGUCGGCUCAUCACAUCCUGGGGCUGAAGCCGGUCCCAAGGGUAUGGCUGUUCGCCAUUUAAAGUGGUACGCGAGCUGGGUUUAGAACGUCGUGAGACAGUUCGGUCCCUAUCUGCCGUGGGCGUUGGAAAUUUGAGAGGAGCUGCUCCUAGUACGAGAGGACCGGAGUGGACGUACCCCUGGUGUUCGGGUUGUCAUGCCAAUGGCAUUGCCCGGUAGCUAUGUACGGACGGGAUAACCGCUGAAAGCAUCUAAGCGGGAAGCCUCCCUCAAGAUUAGGUAUCAUCGAGUCGUGGUAGACCACCACGUUGAUAGGCCGGGUGUGGAAGUGCGGUAACGCAUGAAGCUUACCGGUCCUAAUAACUCUGUUCAUGCUU